CCUACGGGGGGCUGCAGUCGAGAAUCUUCGGCAAUGGGCGCUAGCCUGACCGAGCGACGCCGCGUGGAGGACGAAGGCCUUCGGGUUGUAAACUCCUGUCGUAGGGGAACAAGGCCUGGUGGAGAAUCAGGCUUGAGUGAUCCUAGGAGGAAGCACGGGCUAAGUUCGUGCCAGCAGCCGCGGUAAGACGAACCGUGCGAACGUUAUUCGGAAUCACUGGGCUUAAAGCGCGUGUAGGCGGCCCGACACGUCCGUCGCUGAAAGCCCCCGGCUCAACCGGGGAAGUGGCGCGGAUACGAUCGGGCUGGAGGGGGGUAGGGGGAGCCGGAACUCACGGUGGAGCGGUGAAAUGCGUUGAGAUCGUGAGGAACGCCCGUGGCGAAAGCGGGCUCCUGGGCCCCACCUGACGCUGAGACGCGAAAGCCAGGGGAGCGAACGGGAUUAGAUACCCUUGUAGUC
rnacentral:rRNA from 1 species